rnacentral:rRNA from 1 species
AUUGAACGCUGGCGGCAGGCCUAACACAUGCAAGUCGAGCGGAGCGGCGGACGGGUGAGUAAUGCCUAGGAAUCUGCCUGGUCGUGGGGGUUAACGUCAGGAUACGGGCGCUAAUACCGCAUCCUAUCAGAUGGGCCUAGGUCGGAUUAGCUAGUUGGUUGGGUAAAGGCUUACCAAGGCGACGAUCCGUAACUGGUCUGAGAGGGUGAUCGGUCACACUGGAUCGGAGACCCGGGCCAGACUCCUACGGGAGGCGGCAGUGGGGAAUAGUGGACAAUGGGCGAAGGCCUGCUGCAGCCAUGCCGCGUGUGUGAAGAAGGUCUUCGGAGUGUAAGUCAUAUUAAGUUGGGAGGCGGUACCAACAGAAUAAGCACCGGCUAACUACGUGCCAGCAGCCGCGGUAAUAC